rnacentral:rRNA from 1 species
AGCAGCCGCGGUAAUUCCAGCUCCAAUAGCGUAUAUUAAAGUUGUUGCAGUUAAAAAGCUCGUAGUUGAAUUUUGGAUUCUUCCAAUUGGUCCAUCUUUUAGAUGAGUACUGGUUGUGUGGGGUCUAUCCGCCUGGUGAUACGUAAUGUCCUUUAUUGGAUGUUUCGGGUAGUCAGGACCUUUACCUUGAAAAAAUUAGAGUGUUUAAAGCAGGCUUAUGCCGGAAUACAUUAGCAUGGAAUAAUAGAAUAGGACGAAGUUGUUUUAUUUUGUUGGUUUCUAGGACAACCGUAAUGAUUAAUAGGGAUAGUUGGGGGCAUUAGUAUUCAAUUGUCAGAGGUGAAAUUCUUGGAUUUAUUGAAGACUAACUACUGCGAAAGCAUUUUGCCAAGGAUGUUUUCAUUAAUCAAGAACGAAAGUUAGGGGAUCGAAGACGAUCAGAUACCGUCGUAGUCUUAACCAUAAACUAUGCCGACUAGGGAUCGGGCGAUGUUGUUUCCAUGACUCGCUCGGCACCUUA